rnacentral:tRNA from 1 species
AAAAAGAUAAGCUAAAUAAAGCUGAUGGGUUCAUACCCCAUUUAUAAAGGCCCACCUUUUCUUUUUA